rnacentral:rRNA from 1 species
GAUCCUGGCUCAGGAUGAACGCUGGCGGCGUGCCUAACACAUGCAAGUCGAGCGAUCUCUUCGGAGAGAGCGGCGGACGGGUGAGUAACGCGUGGGUAACCUGCCCUGUACACACGGAUAACAUACCGAAAGGUAUGCCAAUACGGGAUAAUAUAUAAGAGUCGCAUGACUUUUAUAUCAAAGAUUUUUCGGUACAGGAUGGACCCGCGUCUGAUUAGCUUGUUGGCGGGGUAACGGCCCACCGAAGG